rnacentral:rRNA from 1 species
UAGGUUAAGUCAAGACCCGGAAGUAUUAAUUCCAGGCUUUUCGUCUCUAUUGAAAGUGCUUUACAACCCUCAGGCCUUCUUCACACACGCGGUAUUGCUGGAUCAGGCUUGCGCCCAUUGUCCAAUAUUCCCC